rnacentral:piRNA from 1 species
CCUAGAAUCAUCUGGGAAGCAAUAAGGUAC